rnacentral:rRNA from 1 species
CCGGCACGGGUGAGUAACACGUAUGCAAUCCACCUGUAACAGGGGGAGUAACCCGGAGAAAUCCGGACUAAUACCCCAUAAUAUGGGCGCUCCGCAUGGAGAGCCCAUUAAAGAGAGCAAUUUUGGUUACAGACGAGCAUGCGCUCCAUUAGCCAGUUGGCGGGGUAACGGCCACCAAAGCGACGAUGGAUAGGGGUUCUGAGAGGAAGGUCCCCCACAUUGGAACUGAGACACGGUCCAA